GUACAGGGUAGCCUAGUGGACAUGGCAUCUGCCCAGUAAGCGGAACACUGUGGGUUCGAUUCCCAUCCCUGGACA
rnacentral:tRNA from 1 species